GCAUAACCCUAAAGAUAAAUGAAUGAAUUAGUUGUAAUCAGUUUUGUAAAAGGUAGGAAUCUACUAAGCAAUGAGCUGGAGCAGAAGAGCUCUAAUACUAGCUGUUCUGGUUCAAAUGGUUUUCUCCAGAAGAGGGAGAAGUUAUGGAUAUGGCAAUGAACAAAGGAAUAG